rnacentral:rRNA from 1 species
UUGAUCCUGGCUCAGAAUCAACGCUGGCGGCAUGCCUAACACAUGCAAGUCGAACGCGAAAGUUCCUUCGGGAAUGAGUAGAGUGGCGUCCGGGUGAGUUACGCGUGGGUAAUCUGCCUUUGGGUGGGGAAUAACCCAGGGAAACUUGGUCUAAUACCGCAUAAUGCAGCGGCUCGACAUCGAGACAGUUGUUAAAGCCUCUCGCAAGAGGGGCGCCUAAAGAGGAGCCUGCGUCUGAUUAGCUAGUUGUUGGGGUAAUGGCCUACCAAGGCUACGAUCAGUAGCUGGUCUGAGAGGACUGCCAGCCACAAUGGCACUGAAACACGGGCCAUACUCCUACGGGAGGCAGUAGUGGGGAAUUUUGCGCAAUGGGCGAAAGCCUGACGCAGCAAUGCCGCGUGAAGGAUGAAAUCCCUCGGGAUGUAAACUUCGUAAGUGUGGGAGGAACAUAAUGACGGUACCACACGUAAGCCCCGGCUAACUCCGUGCCAGCAGCCGCUGUAAUU